UUGGCUUCCUGGCACUUCACCCAGAUUAGGUACUGAUUAGUCAGUUUCUAUGCCACACAGCAUCAAAAACUCCACCUCCUAGGUAGCCACUGGCUCCUCGCACUUCACCCACAUUUGGUUCUGAUUGGUUGGUUUCUAUGCCAGUCAUCAUCAAAAGCUCUGCCUCCCAGGCAGCCAUUGGAUCCUCAUACUUCAGUCACAUUUGGUUCUGAUUGG